AAUUGCGUUAAAUAGUUAAAUCUUGUAAAAUUUUUGACACUAGUGAGGUGAAUAAAACAUUUUCAGCUGUCAAAACAUUAAUGGCCUCUGGGAGCCGGUUAAUCGAAGUUAAAUUUUUUUUGCACAUGGUUUUGUUAUUUUGUGCAUUGUAUAUCAAUUCAUAUACAGUUUUUCAGGAGUAUCAUGUCAGCAAAAAGGCAGAGAAUAAACAAUAAGCCGUACAAUAUAUGGACCCACGAGGAAAAAAUUCAGCUCAUAAAUUUAAGGACCGAAAACAAUGAAAUGUUUACCAACAAAAAUUCAAUAAUGAGCGCUUGCUGGAAAGCCAUAGCAGAGAAAAUGGAGAGUACCAAGGAUGCCAACCAAUGUAAGCAGCAAUGGAAAAACCUUCUCA